GCAACAAACACAUGUGAAGAGGUCUAUUUGCAGAGAAGAGAGAGAGCGUGCGAGAAAGAGAGACGAGCGACGCCAGUGGUUCCGGCGCCACCUUCCACCGACGACUAUUCCGGCGACGCAACCUCACUUUUUGUUAAACUACAGUUGUAGAGGAGUGACGGCGGCGGUGCUAGGGAUUGACGCAGAGAGGACGGUGGUGAUGUUAUUGGGCCAUCAAGCGGCGGCGGUGUUGUUCUCACAACCAAAGUUGUUGUUUCGAUAACACAUAAAUUACUUUUCAAUUUGAUUACAUUCUCUCUUUUUCAAACCCUGUACAAAAUGUAUGAUGGUGGUGUCGACAACGGUUGUGUCGGCGAAGGGAAACAUCGGCGGUAGAUGGUGUAUUGGAAGACUAUUGGAGAUUAGGGCUCAUUUGAUCUGAAUGGAGGGAGGUAGCUUCUGUUUUACACUUUUCUGGCAUGCGUCAAGUACCCGACAACAAGCCAUGUGUGGCAUAGGGGUCGCUUCUCGCCUAGGCGAGAAGCGCAAAAAAAGCGAGGGACUGAGGAAAAAAAAAGCGCAAUCAAAUAAAAACAUUAAAAAACAAAGUUAUGAACCGAAAAAAGGCCAAAUCCUCAAAUUCCAAAAGUUUUCAAAUAUCAUAAACCUUAAAAUAAAACCCACAUUAUUACGAAUCACCAAAAUAUCCCAAAACCAAAACUGUUAAGACUUGAAAACAAUAAAGUUCAGAUUCCAAAAGUAGAUAAAAUUCAAGACCAUCGCCUGUAGCAUAGUUCCCAUGGAUCAAUAUGUAACUGAAUGAUGAAAGAAUAAAUAAUUCUUUAACAGAAUCACAUACCUGUAGUAUUUUUUUACCGCCAGAAAAAACAGAACUGUGAAUGCUGUGGCUGUGUAUACGAGUUAUCUAUUAUAUUAAGAUAAUAUAUCUCUUAAGUUUUUGAAAUUUAAAAUAUCUUUAAAAAAUAUAUACAUAUUUGAUGAGAUAUGAUUCUAAAAUAUUUAAAAUUAGCUGUAAAUAAAAUCUAGUUUGUUUUUAAAGAUAGGGUUUUUUUUAAAAAAAAAAAAAAAAAAGAACGUUGCUUUUUUAUCUAGGAGACAAAAGCGGUCCAAGGUCGCCUUGCUCGCCCAGAUCGCCUAGGCGCACUGGGCGAUCGCUUUUAACAACAGAGGUAUUGUCAAAGUGCUUUACUAUGGAAAUGAGUAUGGAUUAGGAAGCUUAUGACGUACUUAAAUCAAUUCCGACGGUGACGAAUAAAGCUACAACGCUCCUUGUUUGUCUAAGUCAAAAGAGCAGAGGUUUGGAAUGGUAUUUUUUAGUGUCCUUGACAAGAAGUAUGGGAAUGGAGGUAUUGGAAGACUACUGGAAAGGAUUGAGUGGUUCACCAUAGGUCUCGAUAGGUUGGGAAGAAGAAAAGUUUAGUGUAUGAUAGCGGUUGUGCCCCAAAAAGUGAGAGGACAAACUGGGAUAUGCAUGAAUACUGGCUCAUCGAUCAGGAGCUUCAAAAUACUGGAAUUAUGCAGUUUUGUCAUUUGUCGUUGUCUAUUUUCUUUUGGAAUACAAUUUGUUAUGAUCUCAUUUGCAAUCAUCUGGGUUCAAUGAAAGAGAUUAAAGGUGGGUUCAGUUGCUGUUGAAAUAAAUAUGCAGACGGCAGGUGAAUUAGAAAAAGAUGCCAAAAAGCCAUGGCGAAAAUUAUCCUUCCCUCACAGGACCUCUGCCAGACUUGACUUAAUGGGCUGCUGCUAUCCCUUGUAGAUUAAGCUUUGCAUUUUUCGGAUGUUAAAGCCUCCGUUGUGUACAUGUUCUAUUUGUUUUAACACGCCGCAACGCGACGGCAAGAAUACUAGUUUUUUAAAAAAGUUAACGAGUAUAAAGUAAUUACCGAAAAAUCAAAUGAGGUGCUAACUUAAAUAUUGAUUAAAAAAAUCGAAAAAUAUCAACUUUUUGUUGUCUUCGUCGAAUAUCCCACACCACCGCCUCAUGACCUGCGUACUUCACGCGUGUUCACACAUUUAAGGCUUUGUGUUCCACGCAGGGGCGGAUCUAUAGGGUGGUAAGGGGUUGCCCGGGAUACCCCUCAACUUUCUUCGCGAGGUGCAAUUUUUCUUUUAUUAUCCGUUUUAUUUAUCUGGGAUACCCCUAAGCAAAUGUGCAGGAUACCCCUGAGUAUAAAUGAAAAAAAAAAA